GGGAGUAACUAUGACUCUCUUAAAACUCGAGUUAGUUUUCAUUGCUACUUUGAGAGAGAUAGGAGGGCAAGGUCUGUAGCCAGGCCUUGUUAUGCCUUCUAGUCGAGGUGCCAGCAAAGUUGUGGGUGGCACCCGGCGAGAUAACCUGGUACGGGGAAGGCUUUUACCUUGGAAGGGACAGGCGCCGCUAUCUAGCGAGGUGCCUGUCCUGGAGGUUGCUAAUCUCGUGGCGAGCCGGCGGAGAGUGAUUUCCGCCAAUGGCCGUCGUAUCGCGCGGUAAGGUAUCGAUGGGCUCGGCCGCUACUUUUAGUAGUGGUGGUCGAGUCUGUUUAAGGGACGUGCAAGUCCGAUGCGAAAGCAUCAGCGCUGCUGGAGCACCCACAAUGCAAAGGUAGCGCUAGCCGUACAUAUUACGAGGGCUCAGAGGAAAUGCUGAGCCCGAAUCGGCUGGUACGAAAUGAAGGUAGCCAAAUGCCU
rnacentral:rRNA from 1 species